rnacentral:rRNA from 1 species
UCUGGCCUACGGGGCGCAGCAGUAGGGAAUUUUCGUCAAUGGGCGCAAGCCUGAACGAGCGAUGCCGCGUGAGGGAAGACUGCCCUAUGGGUUGUAAACCUCUUUUGUCAGGGAGCAACGCCGGCUACGUGUAGCCGGACUGAGAGUACCUGAAGAAAAAGCAUCGGCUAACUCCGUGCCAGCAGCCGCGGUAAUACGGAGGAUGCGAGCGUUAUCCGGAUUUAUUGGGUUUAAAGGGUGCGUAGGCGGAAUGCCAAGUCAGCGGUAAAAUCGCGGGGCUCAACCUCGCUCCGCCGUUGAAACUG